UAUAAACUAUAGCGGUGGAAUAAGAGCUUUUAUCUCUUUAGCUUUUUUUUCACCACCAGAGCGGCGCCAUUACUUCGAAUAUCUAACAUCAAACAUGAAUGAAAUUUCUCCGAUCAUAUUAUAUAGAAAAGUCCCCGUUUUCCUGAUUGUCGACUGGCGCGCCAUCUAUGCGGCCUCAUAUGGGAUGCCGCGGCGCAGCGCUCACUUACAUAGAACAUGGUGUCCACCUGUUUACGAUUUGACGUAGACAGAUAGACUCAACGGACGAAGUUGUGGGUACAAACAGUUACAGAAUAAUUCGGUUACUUGUCAGCGGAGAUCUGAUUGCCUAUAUUAUGAAUUUGCAUAAAUUUGCGCUGGGCAUACUUCCAACUGCCCAAAACCGGUCCUUAUGGCGCUCAAUGGAGGAGGUCUGUGUCCAGCAGUGGACGAUUCCCGGCUGAAAUGAUGAUGAUACUUCCAACUUGUGUUGGGCCGUGUCUAGCGGGCAGUUGUCAUAAUGGUGACACAUGACAAACACCUCCGUCCCUACGAUACGAUAGGUGAGUACCUGUGUCAACCAAAAGGGUGCCGCGCCGUGGCGCCUGUCUAGCCACUUGGUAAAGACAGGCCGCA